AUGCCCAAGCGCACCAUGGGAGGGAGGGCCGAUGCCGGGGCCGACGCCAUGGCGCACGAAGCAUCCAAGCGCUGGGCGAAGCUGCACAUGGAGAAACCCCUCCCCGCCGGCAAGGGGUCUAGCCGGCAGCAGGGCGGCCUUGACGUCGUCGACCACGUCCAGGCUCCAGUGCAGGUGUCACCUACGCCGGAGCAGGUGGCUCCUCCGCCGGAGCAGGUGACUCCUCUGCCACGCCAUCUGCCUCCUCUGCCGCAGCCCACGGUCAACGUCGACGGCGACGACGAAGAAGAAGAGGUCAGUCCUAUUUUAGGAAAUCCGGUAGGUUUCAAGGGCGGAUCCACAUGGGCGCAUGAGUGUGGGGGUCGCCUCCUCAUUGUAGCUGCUCUGGUUCCUCAAACGGAGCAGGUGUCUCUUCUGCCGCGGGCGACGCCUCCUGCGCCCGAGCCUGUGGUCGUCUGCGAUGUCAACAAAGAAGACGUAGCUCCUCUGGCUUCUCUGCCAGAGCAGGUGGUGGCUCCUCAGCCUCAGCCAAGUGUUCGUCUGCCGCGGUUGUUGCCUCCUCUGCCCCCACAUGUGGUCCUCGCCGACGAGAACGAAGAAGAGGCAAGCUUGGAAAAAAAUGUGUGGCAAAAUGUGGUCCUAAGUGACGAUGUUGACAGCGACCCAGAAACCCAGAGGAUCUUCAGGAGGCAGAAGCUGAGGCAGCUGGACAGUGGUGAGCUCGAGAAAGCUGUGAGGCCUAGAUUCGGAAACGGCUACAGAUGCCCUUACUGCAACAAGGUGAUGAAAGGCGACCUGUCGAGUACCAUCAACCAUGCAGUCGGAACAUCCCAAGGCAGCAUCAAGAAUGGCUACGCUUUCAGGGUGAAGCAUGCCGCGUAUGCCGACUACUUGAUGAGGUUUCUUUGA
rnacentral:rRNA from 1 species